rnacentral:lncRNA from 1 species
GAAAAAAAACCUCUGACAUUUUCCCCUUGCUAUUCCAAUUGCUAAGCCAAGGGGACUUGCUGCCUACAAAUAAAGGUUCCUUUAAAAACAUUCCGUUAACCAAAAGCCGUAUGAUUGUUUGAGGAGGCACACAUCCAUUAAAAUGAAUAUGUCGGGGAGAUGCCAAUCAGAAGACGGCUGAAGAAUUAUUGCUAAAUGGAGACAGGCAAGGUUGUGUGGCGAAGAUGCUGUUUGAGGCGGUCUUGGAGGAGGGCCAACCACUUGCAGAGUAAGGAUGAGCUGGAGCUCCUGGGGGCCCAGUCACCAUCUAAGAAGCCUGAAGAUGUUUCCAUUGCCAUCUCAUUAUCAGUUCCUUUCAGAACAACUGAAAGAAAGAAAAGACAGAUUUAUUCGCCGAAGCGAUGGAGAAGGAUAUUAGGACAAACGUCUAUGUGGAAAAAACAAUCCAACGUACGCAUUUCUUGGGUGAAAAGAUACACAGCGUUUUCAGAGGCUUUUCCCCCGCUCAUCUUAAUGAAGCUCUCAACAAACACAUCUGCAUGUUUCAUUAUAAUCGAGUGA